rnacentral:rRNA from 1 species
AUUGAACGCUGGCGGCAGGCCUAACACAUGCAAGUCGAACGGUAACAGGGAUCAGCUUGCUGAUUCGCUGACGAGUGGCGGACGGGUGAGUAAUGUCUGGGAAACUGCCUGAUGGAGGGGGAUAACUACUGGAAACGGUAGCUAAUACCGCAUAACGUCGCAAGACCAAAGAGGGGGACCUUCGGGCCUCUUGCCAUCGGAUGUGCCCAGAUGGGAUUAGCUAGUAGGUGGGGUAACGGCUCACAUAGGCGACGAUCCCUAGCUGGUCUGAGAGGAUGACCAGCCACACUGGAACUGAGACACGGUCCAGACUCCUACGGGAGGCCGCAGUGGAGAAUAUUGCACAAUGGGCGAAAGCCUGAUGCCGCCAUGCCGCGUAUGAAGAAGGCCUUCGGGUUGUAAAGUACUUUCAGCGGGGAGGAAGGGAGUAAAGUUAAUACCUUUGCUCAUUGACGUUACCCGAAGAAGAAGCACCGGCUAACUCCGUG